UACCAUGAGGCCAAUGAAAUCAAUGUUCUGUCCUUUCCUUCAUGGUACUGACUGAAGAUCUUUAUCUGAUGUGUUGGAUCACAGGCACAGGCAGGGACAAGAGACAACUUCUACACAUGUCCCAGCCUCUGCUUCACUGGGAACAAGAAGUUGCUCUGAAGUAGACCCCUGAGCAACACAGGUAUAUGAGGAUUUUCCUCCGCCUCGGCCACCCCUGAGACAGCAAGAUCAAUCCUUCCUCUUCCUCCUCUUCCUCCACCUCCUCAAUGUGAAGAUGAUGAGAAUGAAGACCUUGAUGAUGAUCCACUUCCACUUAAUGAAUAGUGAAUCCAUUUCCUCCUCCUUAUGAUUUUCCUAAAAGCAUUUUCUUUUCUCUAGCUUGCUUUAUUAGAAGAAUACCAUAUAUAAUACAUAUAAACAUACACGAUAUGUAUUAAUUUACUGUUUAUAAUAUUGGUGAGGUUUCUGGCCAAGAUUUCUUCCCAGUUCUGACAUUAAAAAAUGCUUCCUGAACACAUGUUGUUCAAG
rnacentral:lncRNA from 1 species